GCCUGUCUGCAGUUGCAGUUAUCGGGGAAUGCAGGAAAACCGUCGUAGUGUGCUUCGGAAGCUAAACCCGGUCGGACGUAUCGAAAAAGACUUGCAAUGAACAGGAUACGAAUCCACGUUUUGCCUUCAAGUCGGAACCGGGUGACCCAGACACCCCGCCCUCAGGAGCCACAGGCCUGCUCCUUCACCCAACGACCAUGUUCUCAGCCUCGACUGGAAGGCCUUGAGUUCUGCAUCAAACACAUUCUGGAGGACAAGAAUGCUCCAUACAAACAGUGCAGUUACGUCUCUGCCAAGAACGGCAAGCGUUGCCCCAAUGCUGCACCAAAAGUCGAGAGGAAAGAUGGAGUGACGUUCUGUGCAGAGCAUGCUCGCAGGAAUGCCAUGGCCCUCCGAGCUCAGAUGAGAAAGGCAUCAGCUGGUCCAUCCCCAGAGUCACUGUUGUCUCAGCUUAGUGGAUAUAACCGCGCAGAGACGCACAGCAUCGAUGGAAGCCGCUCUGAAGCUAGCCGUAUUCUAGAUGAGGACAGUGUGAGUGAGGAGGAGCAGGGUCCGUUGGUACUAGACCAGACAUGGAGAGGAGAUCCUGACAGUGAGGCCGACAGCGUUGACAGUGAUCACGAAGAUCCUUUGAAACAUGCGGGGGUGUACACCGCAGAGGAGGUGGCGCUCAUCACUCGAGAAAAACUCAUCAGGCUCCAGUCCCUCUACAUCGACCAGUUCAAACGCCUGCAGCACCUGCUUAAAGAGAAAAAACGUAGAUACCUACACAACCGCAAAGUGGAGCAUGAAACUCUAGGGAGCAGUCUGCUGACAGGGCCUGAAGGUCUGUCCAUGAAGGAGAGGGAGAACCUGAAGAAGCUCAAAGCUCUGCGCCGAUAUCGUCGUCGGUACGGUGUGGAAGCCCUGCUGCACCGGCAGCUGCGGGAGCGGAGGCAGGCUGUGACAGAAGGAGCGCCUCAGCCACACACAAGAACAGUGCAUGAAAAGUGCAUCUCCUUUGUAGACGGGACCCGAUGUACCAACCCCUGCCUGCCCAUGACCCGACACUGCACCUCACACAUCUUCCAGGACAGCAAUCAAGUGCUUUUCAAAAUGUGCCCAGGCAUGAAAGACAUCCCGUGUGAACGCACCGUGCACAUGGGUCAGUCUGAUGACCCACGCUGCCCGCUUCACCUCUCCCUGCCUCCGCCCAUGUACCAGCCCGAGCAGGAGCCUCCGCCACAGGAGCAGAUCACCACCGCAAGCAGAGACAUGUAUCUGAGCGCAGCAGAGCUUCAGCCCACAGAGAGCCUUCCUCUAGAGUUCAGUGAUGACCUGGAUGUGGAAGGGGACGGUAUGCAGGGUCCUCCGUCGCCCCUACAGUUUGACACGGCCCUGGCCCUGGAGGACCAGACCAUCAGAGCAAUCGCAGAGGCCCCGAUGGACAUCCUGACAGGGGACGAUCCAGACCAGGUGGACCUGGACGCCUCGGGACAGGAGCUCUCAGAAAGAGAUGUGGAUGCCAUCAUGCAUGACCAGUAAAAACAGCAAGCUCAUCACACUGGGAGGGAUGCCCUGAUCAGUCAUCACUGAUACCUUUAAAUGUUCACAACGUAUGGACAGCAUGAGGUGUGUGUGAUAUAAACAGCUGGAGAUUACGCCUCACUAAUUGCACCAGAGGGAAAGACUUGUAGUGUAAGAAACGUGGGGAUUUCUGUGGUGGCUCGGAAUCGAUCAAAAAGGCUUUCGAUGGAUCUUUUUGCUCUUUAAUCUGCCCGUAUGUUAAAUAAGAAAAUGCAUAUACAGUGAUGUCCUUCAUCCUCCAUAAUCCUACUGAACAAUUUAAAGGGACAGCUCACCUCCAGAUCAGAAAUACAUAUUUUCCUCUUAGCUGUAGUGUUUUUUAUCAGCCUAGAUUGUUUUGGUGUGAGUUGGAGAUAUCGACCUUCUCCUCGAUGUAAUGGAACUAGAUGACACUCAGCUUGUGGUGCGAGCCAAAUUGAAUUUUAAAAACUAUUUAAAAAAAAUAAUACAGGCAGCUUUAAUACACAGUCUGGGUGUAGCAGCAGUCACAUUGUGAGAUUUUGGUGCCAAAUUUCCAACUUUGUCAGAGCCUUGAUGCAGCCAGUCACUGUCUUUGAAGGUCAACACAUCUGCCUUCACGUAUGCCUCCGCGCUGGUGAUAGCUGUGGACUGAGGCAUUAUGUUUUCAGGUUGUCCAUCCGUCUGUCUGACUGUCCAUCUCAUUUUCAUGAUCCCAGUUACUCAAGAACACCUUAAUUUCUUUAAGUUUGGCACAAACGUUCACUUGGACUCAACGAUGAACUGGUUAGAACUCGGUGGUCAAAGGUCAAGGUCACUGUCACCUCUCAAAACACGUUUUUGGCCACAACUUAUAAAUUCAUGUGCUAAUUAUGACUGAAUUUCACACAAAUGUCUAAUAGGAUAUAACGAUGAAGUGAUGACAUUUUAUAUCUCAGAGGUCAACGUCACUGUGACAUCAUAAUGUUUUGUGGCCAUCAGGGUUCCCACAGUCAUGGAAAACCUGGUAAAAAGUCAUGAAGAUUUACAGUCAUAUUUUCCAGGCCUGGAAAAGUCAUGGAAAUUUCUUGUAUGUAAUAAAAUUAGGAUUUGGAGAAGGCUUUCGACCGUGUCCCCAGGGGCAUCCUGUGGGGGGUGCUCCGGGAGUAUGGGGUUGGUGGCCCCUUGCUAAGUGCCAUCCAGUCUCUGUACCGAAGGAGCGCGAGUCUGGUUUGCGUGGCCGGCAGUAAGUCGGACCUGUUCCCGGUGAGAGUUGGACUCCGCCAGGGCUGCCCUUUGUCACCGGUUCUGUUCAAAACUUUCAUGGACAGAGUUUCUAGGCGCAGCUGAGUGGUGGAGGGAGUCAGGUUUGGUGACGGGAGGAUCUCGUCCGUGCUUUCUGCAGUGGACGUGGUCCUCCUAGCCCCAUCGAACAGUGACCUCCAGCUCUUGCUGGGACGGUUCGCAGCCGAGUGGCUGGGAUGAGAAUCAGCACCUCCAAGUCUGAGGCCAUGGUCCUCAGCCCACUCCAGAUUGGGGGGGGGGGGUUAAGUAUCUCGGGAUCUUGUUCAUGAAUGAAGGUAGGAUGGAGCAGGAAAUUGACAGGGGGAUUGGGGCGGCAUCGGCAGUGAUGCAGGCGCUUAACCAGUCCGUUGUGGUGAAAAGGGAGCUUAGCCAGAAAGCGAAGCUCUCGAUUUACCGGUCAAUCUACGUUCCAACCCUCACCUAUGGUCACGAGCUCUGGGUAGUGACCGAAAGAACGAGAUCACGAAUAUAAGUGGCCGAAAUGAGUUUCCUCUGCAGGGUGGCUGGGCUCAGCCUUAGAGAUAGGGUGAGGAGCUCGGACAUCCGGGAGGGACUCGGAGUAGAGCCGCUGCUCCUCCACAUCGAGAGGAGCCAGUUGAGGUGGUUCGGGCAUCUGGUAAGGAUGCCCUCCGGACGCCUCCCUUGGGAGGUGUUUCGGGCAUGUCCAACCAGGAAGAGACCUCAGGCCGCCCCAGGACACACCGGAGGGACUACAUCACCCAGCUGGCCUGGGAACGCCUCGGGGUUCCUUCGGAAGAGCUGACGGAAGUGGCUGGGGAGAGGACUGUCUGGGCUUCUUUGAUGAGGCUUCUUUGCUCGCCCGGAUAAGUGGAGGAUGAUGAGUACGAGUACGACGACGACGACGACGAGUGGUGUCAGAAGUUGUUGGAGGUGAAGAAGAAGAAGCCGCCACUGAUAAUUCACUCCAAGACAUCGACUCUGCUGCAGCUGAUGCUCCCAGAUGAACAACUUCUGCAGCAGCGCUUUAAAGAACUUGUUUCACUUCCACAAAGACCGAUGUUGAGGUUAGAGGAACAUUGACAGCCCAUUUCCAACACACCAUUAGACAAUACCUUCAGUGGUUGCACUUAUGUUUGUCAUGUGGGUGUAUUUAUUUAGUUUUCUGUGUUUAAGUGCCAUAAAAAUGAACCCAAAUCAGCUUGUGUCUUUAAAUAAAAAGGAAUUCUUUCAUCCACACAUGAAGAA